AUUGAACGCUGGCGGCAUGCCUUACACAUGCAAGUCGAACGGCAGCGGGGACUUCGGUCCGCCGGCGAGUGGCGAACGGGUGAGUAAUGUAUCGGAACGUACCUUUCAGUGGGGGAUAACGUAGCGAAAGUUACGCUAAUACCGCAUAUUCUCUGAGGAGGAAAGCAGGGGACCUUCGGGCCUUGUGCUGAUGGAGCGGCCGAUAUCAGAUUAGCUAGUUGGUGAGGUAAAGGCUCACCAAGGCGACGAUCUGUAGCGGGUCUGAGAGGAUGAUCCGCCACACUGGGACUGAGACACGGCCCAGACUCCUACGGGAGGCAGCAGUGGGGAAUAUUGGACAAUGGACGCAAGUCUGAUCCAGCCAUGCCGCGUGAAGGAUUAAGGUCCUCUGGAUUGUAAACUUCUUUUAUAAGGGACGAAAAAAGGUCUUUCUAGAUCGUCUGACGGUACCUUAUGAAUAAGCACCGGCUAACUCCGUGCCAGCAGCCGCAGUAACAC
rnacentral:rRNA from 1 species